rnacentral:rRNA from 1 species
UACGUAGGCAGCAAGCGUUAAUCGGAAUUACUGGGCGUAAAGCGUGCGCAGGCGGUGAUGUAAGACAGGUGUGAAAUCCCCGGGCUUAACCUGGGAACUGCAUUUGUGACUGCAUCGCUGGAGUGCGGCAGAGGGGGAUGGAAUUCCGCGUGUAGCAGUGAAAUGCGUAGAUAUGCGGAGGAACACCGAUGGCGAAGGCAAUCCCCUGGGCCUGCACUGACGCUCAUGCACGAAAGCGUGGGGAGCAAACAGG